rnacentral:lncRNA from 1 species
UGGAGACCUAGCAUUCCUGUUGGGCUCAGUCACUCACCUGGCCAAGGACCCACCCCUCAGGAAGAUCCUGCUACCCCUGUAGAGGUGGAGAAAGGUUGGCUGCAUGAGAUGAGACAGCCUAGGAAGAGCCACAGGGUAUCCAGGGAAGACUGACACCAGGUCUCACCAGAGCAACGUCCUCAAACUGGGAUCUUCUCAUCCCCUAGCUGGUGAGUGAUGAUUGACUUUGAGAUUAACUUGAUGGGAUUUAGAAUCACCUAGGAGGCAAUUCCCUGGGCACAUCUCUGAGAGAGUUGAGGUGGAAACAUUAACCAG